rnacentral:rRNA from 1 species
UGGGGGAUAUUGCACAAUGGGCGAAAGCCUGAUGCAGCGACGCCGCGUGGGGGAUGAAGGCCUUCGGGUUGUAAACUUCUUUUGCUCUGAACAAGGCAUGCUAAUGGGUGUUUUGAGUGUAGGGGUUGAUUAGCGCCGGCUAACUACGUGCCAGCAGCCGCGGUAAUACGUAGGGCGCGGUCGUUGUCCGGAAUUAUUGGGCGUAAAGGGCUUGGAGGUGGCUGGAUGCGUCUGUCGUGAAAGGUAAUGGCUUAACUGGGGGAUUGCAGUGGGUACGGGCUGGCUAGAGUGCAGGAGAGUAGGCUGGAAUUCCAGGUGUAGCGGUGGAAUGAGCAGAUAUCAGGAGGAAUACCGGUGGCGAAGGCGGGUCUCUGGGCUGUUACUGACACUGAGGAGCGAAAGCAUGGGGAGCGAACAGG